rnacentral:rRNA from 1 species
AUACGGAAGGUCCGGGCGUUAUCCGGAUUUAUUGGGUUUAAAGGGAGCGCAGGCGGAGAUGCAAGCGUGACGUCAAAUUUCGGGGCUCAACCCCGUCUCGCGUCGCGAACUGCGUCCCUUGGUUGCGGGAAGGGGAGGCGGAACUCGUGGUGUAGCGGUGAAAUGCAUAGAUAUCACGAAGAACUCCGAUCGCGAAGGCAGCCUUCCGGCCCGUCAACGACGCUCAUGCUCGAAGGUGUGGGUAUCAAACAGGAUUAGAUACCCUGGUAGUCCGCACAGUAAACGAUGGACACCCGCGGUUUGGCCUGUAUGGCUGAGCCGCCAAGCGAAAGCGUUAAGUGUCCCACCUGGGGAGUACGCCGGCAACGGUGAAACUUAAAGGAAUUGACGGGG